rnacentral:rRNA from 1 species
UACGGGGGGGGUAAGCGUUGUUCGGAAUUACUGGGCGUAAAGGGCUCGUAGGCGGCCAACUAAGUCGGACGUGAAAUCCCUCGGCUUAACCGGGGAACUGCGUCUGAUACUGGAUGGCUUGAGUGUGGGAGAGGGAUGCGGAAUUCCAGGUGUAGCGGUGAAAUGCGUAGAUAUCUGGAGGAACACCGGUGGCGAAGGCGGUUCUCUGGGCAUUACCUGACGCUGAGGAGCGAAAGUGUGGGGAGCGAACAGG